rnacentral:pre_miRNA from 1 species
AAUAAGUACAGCCAUGAGUUUUCGCAAUCAAUUUUGAUCGUCCAUCUUAUUUGAUUUUUUUUAUAAUUAGCAUUUUUGUUGUUAUAAGAUGAUAAAACAUGAAUAGUACUUUACUCGUGACUUAUGUUUUUAAUUUUUUUUAAAAAAUUUUUAAAUAAGAUGAAUGGUUAAAGUUGAGCGCGGAAAACCAUGGUUGUACUUAUU